rnacentral:sRNA from 1 species
ACAAAACCAGGGUUGUAAUAUUUGCUUAGAGUUCUCUGCUUAGAGCCGAACAGGAUCCAACCGCCCUGUCUAGGAACAAACAGCUCCUGAAAGGAAGUGGCCCAGGCUCUCCUACCAGUUCUUUUAGUGGAGAUGACUGUUCAAUCGACUUAGGUUUCUGAAGGUCAAAGGCCAAGUUUACCGUUUCCUGUGUGAGCUUGAGUUCAUUGCUUAACUUAUCUGUGCCGUAGAGAGAUCUCAACAGCAUACCCUAUAAUAGAGAUUGUUCUGAGCCUGCCAAGGGAAUGUGAGCAAAUUUCUGGGGUUGGGACCAUAGCUGUCAAAGGGGCUAGUGUCAUCCACAGGUGAAGCAACUGAAGGUCUCUGGCUAGCUCACUCGAAGGGACAUACCCACCCGUCUGAAGCCAGCAGGCUGUGCCUUCCUUGAAGGCUAGGCCCUCCCCACAGCAGGAGAGCAUGUUAGGAGUGAAGCCCUGGACAAUGGUGGGUUAUAACAUUUGUGACUCAAGAGCUGCCCGGGAGUCUGGUGUGGAGAUAAGCCUAGCAAAUGACUGGCAAGGCACAUAAUUCAGUGUGGCACCGGGCAACAGGCCAGGGGAGGAAGAGGCACCACACAAACCUUGCAGCUCAGACACUCACAGCAAAGAGUGGUGGACCAGCCAGAGUCAGGCGCCGCCUUAUCUGCUCCCUGAGCGCUUUGCCUCUCUUGCCUCAGCUUCCUCUCUUGCAGAUGGAAUUCCAAAGGAGGUAAUGACAGCUGGGCCUGCCUCCCUUAUGGCUGGCUGCACUGAAGAACCCAGAAACCCAGGCCUGUGAGCAGUACCUUCAAGGCCGACUUGCCAUGAGAACAAAGCAGACAUUGCACUUCCUCCCCUGGGAUUCUGGGUCUGAUGGGACCUCAGAACCGCAGUCACAGCACACACCCCAGUCUGCAGUGUCCAGAUGCCCGACCGGUGCACGAGCUGGAGCUGAGGUUGUGGCUGACGGGCUCCACAUACCCUGAGGGACACUGUCAGCAACGCACUUCAGACAAGUGCUCUACAAAGACAGGAGAGACCAAGCAUGGUCCCCAAGACAGGGAUCCUGGAAGAUGGAAGUGGGGUACACAAAGAAGAAGGAGAAGUUAGCAGACAAAGAACAGAAAUGGUCCAGAAGGGCCUUGAAGUGGAAACUUAAGGAUUCUUCGGAAAGUCAGUUGGAUGCUGUUUUUGAAGUGGCAGACACGUGAAGGAACAUUUCGCUGAAGCAGACACAGGAGAGAGGAUGUUCUGCUAAAGCAAGCACGUGAAAAGGACACAUGACGAAGGACUUUUUGCUAACCACACAGAUGUCUGCCUUACAUUGCAUAGUCGAGCUGCAUUUGUCAGAACGCCAUAGAGAGAGAAACGCACCAAAAAACUUUAGUGGUGAGCUGAAGUUUGUUUCCGCUUCCAAGGACUCGGGCUGAUUGGAUGCACGGGCUGAGGCAAGGCACAUGGAGGACACGUGAUGUUUGGAGGAUAUACACAGGACUCUGAGGAGUGAUGGAGAGAGAGCUUGGUUUGCUGGUACAGCUAGCUGUGCAAUGCCUGUGGGUCUCUCCUGCUCACUGAUCUUCGCUUCCCUGAGAGAGACACAGCACAGAACUUCUCCUGGUGUCCCUCCGGGUUCCUCCUGCUGACUCGUGCUGAGGCCGAGCCCUGGCCCUCUCUGCCAGGUCAUGUCACCCAACUUUACUGAACUGGACCGCUGAUGUAUGUGUGAGGUGUUUACGAGUGGAUUGGACUGCUGCUGCUGCUGACCUGUAAACGGAACUGCCGAUUUCCAGACUACACAGACGGGAGUUGCUCCAAAGAACCUUUCUAAACAGGUCCACUUCCCCCAUAUCCUUUCUUUUCCAUUACCUCUGGUGCAUGGUGGGUUACAAGGAGCUUAAAGUGUUUAAGAACCAUCAUUAAAAAUAGGAUUUGAAAAGUUAA